UGGAGUGGUGUUAGGAUUAGGCGUGGGAUAUGUAGUUUUCCAAACUGGUAAGCCAAAGUGGUUUAGAAACUUGAGAAGAUUGUGCCUUAACUUAUGGGGUUUCAGUUUUCCUCGAUUAAAUCUAAACAACCGAAUAUCCUUUUAAAAAAUUAAGGUACAAAUUUUAAAAUAAAACAAUUUAAAGGUAAGCUUAUUUUCGAGGGUUCAAAUGUCGUGUCCUAACUUACGGAACGUGACAUUUUGUUAUCUCGAGACGAGAGGGCAUUUAAUGUUUGUUUCAAUUUAUUCAAGCAUUUCUCUAAUCAACAUCAAUAAAGAAGGGGUCGUAUUUUAAAUUCUUUUCGAGUUUUUGAUUUUAGACGUUAAGACUGUAAGGCCUAAUUUUGGCCCGGGGCCCGUACAAAUAUAAACUAAAUAAAAAAUAAAAGUCCAAAAUGCAUUAGUCUAUUUACAAACUAAACUCAGACCCAAACAAGCCCAACAACCAACCAUAACCCAAAUUCAAAACCUAAAAUCUAGACCCAAAAAUACAAGCCCGAUAGGCCCAAUAUUUUAAUUCUCAGGAAACCUUAGGGUUUCCACCUUUGCGCCGCAGCCUUCAGCCGCCGUACAGCCCCAGCGCCACUCGUGCCUCCAAGUCAACGCGCCGUAUACCACCCGAGUGCCUGCACACACUCCGUACCUGCAAAAAAAACAAGUAAACAGCAGCAGAGCAACAGCCAAUACGAAGAACAAAGAAAAAAAUUAUAUUUUUUAUUUUUUUGAACAUUCGGCUAUAAAGCCUUGAACAAUCCAUUGUAAGUUUCUUUACGGAGAUGAUAAAAAGAGAAAUAUACUGAGAAAAUUAAAGGUGAUUCACUCACUAAUCCUUUGUUCUUCUUUUUUCGUUUUUAUUUCUUGCAUUAUUUAGAAUCUAUCUAACAAAUACAAAAAGGGAAGGCCUUCUCACCUGUUGACCAGCGUCGACCUAGUCGGUGGCUGCUUCUCUAGUUCAAAGGAAUACGGAUCCCUGGGGAUCCGUUUAAAGCUGUGACGGAGACUGGGGUGCACUUGACACCACUGUCGCUCGCAGGUCGGCCCAGAGAAGAGAGAGGGUCAAGAGGAUUUUAAGGGGAAAGAUUUUUAAGAUUUUUUAAAUCUG
rnacentral:lncRNA from 1 species